rnacentral:rRNA from 1 species
AGAGAUGUGUGAUGACGCAUAUCAAUAAGCGGAGGAAAAGAAACUAACAAGGAUUCCCUUAGUAACGGCGAGUGAAGCGGGAAGAGCUCAAAUUUGAAAUCUUCAAGGUUCUACCUUGACGAAUUGUAGUUUAUAGAAGUGUUUUCUGUUAGUGGAGUGGCAAAAGUUCUUUGGAAUAGGACAUCAUAGAGGGUGAGAAUCCCGUAUUUGGUCAUUCCUCCUAGCGUUGUGGUACACUUUCAACGAGUCGGAUUGUUUGGGAAUGCAGUCCAAAAUGGGUGGUAAAUUUCAUCUAAAGCUAAAUAUUGGCGAGAGACCGAUAGCGAACAAGUACCGUGAGGGAAAGAUGAAAAGAACUUUGAAAAGAGAGUUAAACAGUACGUGAAAUUGUCAAAAGGGAAGCGUUUGACACCAGUGUUGUUUUUCCGAAAAUCAAUUACGAAUGUUUUGUUUUUGAGGAGUUAUGACUUCAUCGGCUUGCUCCUUUCUUUAUGAAACUUUCUUAAUGCACUUUUCGGUUAACAAGUCAACAUCAAUUUCUUUUGUUGUAAAAGGGUAUGAGGAAGGUGGCUUUCUUUUCGGAGAAAGUGUUUAUAGCCUUGUACCUCUGCAAUCGGAGAGAUUGAGGUCUGCAGCGUAGAUCCUUCGGGGUUAGAUACAUUUGUGCUAAGUUAUAGCUUUUCAUAGACAACUUGUUGACUAUGUUAAGUCUUGUAGCUUACUCGCUUAUGCUAUUUUACCUACGCUUAGGAUGUUGACGAUCAGCUGAGCGCG